UACGGAGGGUGCAAGCGUUGUCCGGAUUUAUUGGGUUUAAAGGGUGCGUAGGCGGUACGUUAAGUCAGUGGUGAAAUCCCGCAGCUCAACUGCGGAACUGCCAUUGAUACUGGCGUACUUGAGUACAGACGAGGUAGGCGGAAUUGAUGGUGUAGCGGUGAAAUGCAUAGAUACCAUCAGGAACACCGAUUGCGUAGGCAGCUUACUGGGCAGUAACUGACGCUGAGGCACGAAAGCGUGGGGAGCGAACAGG
rnacentral:rRNA from 1 species